ACUCGGGAGCUGGGAUCUUCACGGGCAUUCGAGAUGUUCUGCUCUCUCUGUGCUUCGAGGUGUGCGGCGAGAAAGUCCGGCAGGUGGGUGUAACUGGGUGAGAAAAUGGCGUCCAGCUCGUCUCUCCCAGAGGACGAUCUCUCCUGUCCGGUGUGCUGUGACAUCUUCGCUGACCCUGUCCUCCUGAGAUGUAGCCACAGCUUCUGCACGGCCUGUCUGCGGGAAUACUGGAAACACAGAGAAUCACGGGAAUGUCCACUCCUGUGAUUCUGGACCCCAACACUGCCUACCCACACCUCAUCCUGUCUGAGGACCUGACCAGUGUGAGAUCCAGUCAGGAGAGACUGCAGCUUCCUGACAACCCAGAGAGGUUUAAUAGCUAUUGAUGGGUCCUGGCCUCCGAGGGCUUUAACUCAGGGACACACAGCUGGGAUGUUGAGGUCGGAGACAGUAAGACCUGGCUCCUGGGUGUGUUAGCAGAGUCUGUCCAGACGAAUGGAGGCAAACUGGGCGAACGCUGGAGAAUCUGGUUGAUCAAGGGUGAAUACGGAGCAGGAUACUCACUAAGGUCAGCCACUGUUGAUCUGACAGUGAGCCAGAAACCCCAGAGGAUCAGAGUGCAGCUGGAUUGGGACGGAGGAAAGCUGUCCUUCUCUGACCCCGAUAGAAACACACACCUACACACACUCACACACACCUUCACGAGAGAGUCUUUCCAUACAUUGGUACUGUCUGCACUCUACCUCCUUUGAGGAUCUUACCAGUGAAGGCCUCUGUAACUGUAGAACAGCACAGUCAUUAGAGAUGGUACCACCUCUAUCUGUUACAGUAGAACAACAUGUUGGGGGUUUACAACCUUCCUGUCAUGAAGACCACCAACCUCUAACAUGAACAUCCAGAACAAAGAUCAACUUAAGAGAGUCAUACACAGGUAGCAAAAUUUUCUUAAUGUAUUACAGUAUCUGAAGUCAGAAUUUAUUUAGUUAUGUCGUAAAAAUAUAAUGCUUGUACAUAUACACUGUAGGGUACAUUUAUAUUUUUGUACUGAUAUUUUCCAAAUUAAACGCUUAGUCUGCUAAGAAUCAGAAUCCGGUGUAUUGUUUGUACAAAGGAAUUUGCUUUGGGUAGGUUGGUGCAUAACUAAAACAUAGUA